CCACUGACUACUUAACCCUGCUGUUGUACAACUUUCUUUUAUUGUUACCAAUUAGUGAUGUGCGGGCCGGCCCGCGGGUUAGUCAAGUUUGGGCCAACCUUGCACCCCAAUUUGCAGGUGCCAAGUCCGUGUUGAGUUCUUCCUACUGCUCUCCCCGCUCUCCACCUUACACUGCCAGCUUCCGACUUCUGGGUUCUGGUUUUAUAACCAUGCUCCUGCUCGCCCGGCCCCUUUGGUGACAUCAUUGGCGGCGCGGGUCUAUAAAGGAACCCGGAAGUUGGGCUCGGGUGGGCAUUUGUGGAGGGAGGCCGGGUGUGGGUCGGGUUUUACCAGACCCGGACAUCACUAUUACCUAUGCAUCAGGUAAACUGCAGAGACACUAUUUCUUCUCUAUGAAGCUAACCCAGCAAUAUACUAUUUCAAUCCAACAGAGGAAGACUCCCCUCCCGCCUGUCCAUAGAAAGGUUUUCAUUCCUUAAAGAACUGGGCACUGGAGGCUUUGCCAAGGUACUGCUGGCAAAAGACUGCACCACCCAGGGAUUGGUGGAAAAAAGGAGAAUGUUAAAAAAUGCAAAAAACACAAACAGUUUUCAGGUGCUGCAAGGAGCAAAAAACGACCCCUUCCUCACGUGCGCUUAUGGAGCAUUCCAGACCGCGGGAAUGAUUUGUCUGCUUUCAUAUGUUCUAAGAAACUCUUGUGCUUCGUUAUGGAAUACUUACCUGGAGGAGACCUGGCAACAUUUUUGUAUAGACUUGUACCCCUGGAGGAAAGAGAUAUACAAUUCUUUGCUGCUGAAAUAGUUGUGGUCUAAAAAUCUUACACUGAAAAGGCAUUGUUCAUCCAGAUUUGAAGCCCCAGAACAUCAUCACGCACAGCCAAGGGCACCUAAAGAUUGCUUGGACUGGCACUAGAAGGCAUGUUUGAAGGAAAAACUGCAACUGGAUAUGCAGGGUCUGAUGGCUACAUAGCCCCAGAGAUGCUGCAGAAUAAACCAUACAAUGCCUCUGUGGACUGGUUUGCCUUUGGGGUAAUACCGUAUGAGAUGGCGACUGGAUAUUUCCUAUUUAAUGGUGAUUCCUACGGCACUUUUCAGUACUCGAGGACACUCCGAAGAUUCCUGCCUAUGUCAGCUGGAAUACAGAGGCCUUAAUUGACAAGGAAACAAAGAAAAUAAGCACAUGUGACAACACCAUUAAGGUUAUAUACUCAGAGAAAUCCCUUGGAAAUCCAAUCACAUCAAAGAAGCAAAGGAAAUUCCAAGGCUUCUCCUUUAAGAACACUGAGCAGCAGUGAAGUCGCUGGCCACAUGGUAACUACAGAGCCUGUGCAGUCUGAUGAGCUUAACUCAAUUAUCUAAGCAGGUUCAUUUGAGGUAUGAGAGUCUGGUUGAGAUAUCAAAGAAGAAUUCAUUGCAAUAUAAAAUCAACUGAAGGAAAAUAGUUUUUACCAUGUCUAAUUUAAUGAGUCUCAAUGUCAAGGUGGAAGUAAUGGGACCUCAAAGCUUCAGUUCUAUGGGAACAGUUCCCACAGGUCUGUAGUUUGUAGAGUAACCAGAUCUUUGCAUUUGGAAAGGGAUGUUGAAUCAGGGAUAUAUAACUGAACCUAGUAUCCAUAUCUACUUUACUCAGUUGAAGAACAAAAACCCAAAUGAAGAACCAGGAAGCCCUGCAUCAGGUCUAGGAGCCCCACCAGUGGCCCUUUAACCUCCUGCCUGAUGCUCUCGACUCUAACGUCUUUCCUGGCGCUUCUUAAUAUUCAUCCUGGAAAUCCAAUGACAUGAUGCCUGGGGCACAAAGCCCUAAUAAACAACCCAAAUAAUCAAUUCAGUAUUGUCAGGUCCCAGAAGCAGAAUUGUUACACAUGCAAUCAACACAGGCUGCAUAUUUGGUUCCAGGACCAGAACUGUUUUACAUGCAGUGUCAAUAAAUAAAA